GUGGCUCGGACCUUUCGGGCUUCGGCUCGACUCUCCCACCCUUUGUGAACGUACCUCUGUUGCUUUGGCGGCUCCGGCCGCCAAAGGACCUCCAAACUCCAGUCAGUAAACGCAGACGUCUGAUAAACAAGUUAAUAAACUAAAACUUUCAACAACGGAUCUCUUGGUUCUGGCAUCGAUGAAGAACGCAGCGAAAUGCGAUAAGUAAUGUGAAUUGCAGAAUUCAGUGAAUCAUCGAAUCUUUGAACGCACAUUGCGCCCCUUGGUAUUCCGGGGGGCAUGCCUGUUCGAGCGUCAUUACAACCCUCAAGCUCUGCUUGGAAUUGGGCACCGUCCUCACUGCGGACGCGCCUCAAAGACCUCGGCGGUGGCUGUUCAGCCCUCAAGCGUAGUAGAAUACACCUCGCUUUGGAGUGGUUGGCGUCGCCCGCCGGACGAACCUUCUGAACUUUUCUCAAGGUUGACCUCGGAUCAGGUAGGGAUACCCGCUGAACUUAAGCAUAUCAAUAAGGCGGAGGAA
rnacentral:rRNA from 1 species